UGGAAUACAACCCAGCCGCACCUAAUAUGGAACCUUGGCCCCCAAGUAAUUAUAUCGGAGGUCCUUUUAACAAUCGUGGACCACUAAAUAAACAGCGAGAACUGAUCAGCGUUCCGACCUCUGCCAAGACUGGCCUGCAGGACUUCACAAGAUCAGACUCUCUACAGAAACCAAGUCUUUCAAUCAACAGAACAUCCCAACAAACUCUCUCCUUCUAAAGAAAAUUCCCACGCAUCUAAACAAUAUCUCAAGGCUUAACAAUCAUUUUUACAAAUUUGGCAGGAUCAAUAAAAUUCAAGUAAGGCACUUCUCAAUUUUCACGUAUGUUGUUUCUUAAAUGAGCCAGAAGUGGUACUUUCUAAUCGUAAAGUGGAAUCCAUUUAUCUACUAAUGGCUUCUGAUAACAUAUCAAUUUCAUUGAAUAUUUUUGUUUACAAUUCUAACUCUAAUUUAUAAUCCCCUAUGAUUUUACAGUUGGUUGAGUUUUGAUAUCAUCGUUUCGAACUUCCUUUGAAAAGAGGAAUUUUACAGAGGAGUUUUAAAGAAAUCUUCAAAAUAGAUUACAUAAAAUUUCUUCAUGAAGGUUAUUGACUCUUGUAAUCGCUUCAAAUGCUAUUUUUUUAAAUCUUUGAGGCACUUAGGAAAAUUUAACCGCUAAAUUAUCCUCUCUUCACAGGUUUUCUACGAAGGGCAGCCAGAUGCAGCUCUGAUUACUUUCAGCUCCGUUGCAGAGGCUCAAGCAGCCUACAGGAGUCCAGAACCCAUUCUCAACAAUCGUUUCAUUAAAAUGUUUUAUUAUCAAACGGAUAAAAGCUUAGUUAAUGGAAAAAUUCAAGAUUCAAUCGCUAACAAACGCAAUUUAGGGAACACUAGUGCUGUAAAUAUGCAGCUGAACAGGCCAAAAGUCCCAGAAACCUCCAAUGGUGGCACACCCAAACAGGUAGAUAGCACGACAACAUUUCAGAAAACUGGUGCAUACAAUUUGGUUAAAGAUCCAGGGAGAAAACCGGUUGUUGAAAAAUUGAAUGUCCUGAAGAAAACAGUAACUAUUUACAAGAAAAAGCAAGAGCUAUUACAGAAAUUGAUCAAACAACAAAAGAUCUCAUUCUACUCAUCGAAAAAGGUUCACUUAGUGAGGAACAGAGGAGUAAAAUAUUUGAAACCAUCAGUAGUUUACAGGUCCAAAUUGAAGGCAUCAAGGAAUCAAUCAAGGAAGC
rnacentral:lncRNA from 1 species